GACGAACGCUGGCGGCGUGCUUAACACAUGCAAGUCGGACGGUUGGCACUGGAAGGUUCGCUGGAAGGUGCUGAUAGUGGCGGACGGGUGAGUAACGCGUGAGGACAUGUCUGCAGGAGGGGGAUAACGUUUGGAAACGGACGCUAAGACCCCGUAAGCCGGGAGGUGAAAGUGGCGAAAGCCAGCCUGUGGAGUGACUCGCGUCCUAUCAGCUAGUUGGCGGGGUGAAGGCCCACCAAGGCGAUGACGGGUAGCCGACCUGAGAGGGUGGCCGGCCACACUGGAACUGAGAUACGGUCCAGACUCCUACGGGAGGCAGCAGUGGGGAAUAUUGGGCAAUGGGCGGAAGCCUGACCCAGCGACGCCGCGUGGGGGAAGGAAGUCUUUCGGGAGUGUAAACCCUUGUUGUACGGGACGAAGGAAGUGACGGUACCGUACGAGGAAG
rnacentral:rRNA from 1 species